UUUUAAUUUUGAACCGCACUUUAACCGGUCUAAAACAACUUUAGACCAGAAGCCUAAAUCUUUGUUUCUCGUUCCCUUUACUCUAAAUAUUUGGAGCCCCUGAAACUCCUUAGAAAUGGCGGCAAACGGAUUGAGCAGGCUUGUGAGGAGAGGUCUCGGAGGAAGAUAUCCAGGUAUAACAUGAGCAAGCUUGUCCAUUCCAUCAUGCGUCACUUUGCAUAACCGACUCUGUUAGGAGUGGUUGGUCGGUCAUUGGAUUAUUCGUUCUCAAUCUCGGCUUUCUUCUCCGAUCUUCUAAACCAAAACCCAUUUCCACCAUCCCGGCGAUCACUUGUCCAUCUCUUCUAGUUCUUCUAUUUUGAUUGGUCUGCGAUCGAUUGCUUCGUCAUCGCCCGGUUGCUACAGGGCGGAGAUCCCGCCGGAAGAACCCAAGAAGAGAAUUAAGAAGCAAACUUCUCCGUGGAUGUCGUUGACAGACAUAAGCAACCCGGCUUCACCACUUUCGGCCGAUGAUAUCUCGAUUUCUGUCAUCGGCUCCAAUCUCCAUGCGUUUAUGCUGGCAGAGCUAAGGGAGAUCAUGCAGAGCUUCUCGUCAAGAAAUUUCCUGGGCGAGGGCGGGUUCGGCCUAGUUAACAAGGGGUUCAUCGAUGACAAUUUCAAACCUAAGUUGAAGGCGCAGGCUGUGGCUGUUAAGCUCUUGGCCUUGGAGAGCUUGCAAGGACAUCGGGAGUGGCUGGCUGAAGUUAUAUUUCUUGGGCAAUUGAGGCACCCCAAUCUCGUGAAGUUGAUCGGAUACUGCUGCGAGGACGAGCACUGACUUCUUGUAUACGAAUACAUGGUGCGAGGAAGCCUAGCUAGAGAAUCAACUCUUCAGAAAAAUUUGCAAGACAAUAGUAUCCUCAAGCUUGUUGAAGGUGAUUAUCAUGUUCUACCAUCACCAAAUCACUGUCAACAACUUUACAUUUUUUGAGGUGCUCUCCGGAAUUCUCUACAGGAUAGGCUAAGUAGGGGCUCCUUUUGGUGAUCCUUUCUUCACAACUCCAUUUCAAAGCAUGUAUGACCCGAGCAUGCUCAGACCAAAUGCAAUUCCCUUUGGAAAUUCAGAUAUGCAUCCUGUUGGAUUCAGAUAUGACCUGAACAUGCUUAGUUUCUAUAUCUAACAACUAAUGAUUGUGAAGGAAAGAUGAGAAAGAUUCAUGAAUGCAUUCGUUUCAUGAUGGUUAUAUCCAAAGCUUCUGAGGAAAUCACCCCAAAAAAAGUUAUAUUGCUCUCAAUUGAUGGGCAAGGAACUCUAAUUAUUUUCCUUAAAUGUUGCAGUACUGCUAUGUGGUGUCAUUUCAUAUGCUUGUUGUUACUAUUUCUGCACUUCUAACUUUGGUAUUUGGUGCCAGGCCCUUUGAGUUACUGUUAGUAGGCUUGUACAAGCUGCUGAUUCAGUUUUGGUAUAGUUCUCUUUAAUUAUUUUGCAAUUUUACCUUUAUUUCCCUUGUUUUUAUUCUUCCCUUUUUAAUGAAAUCUCUUCUACAUUUACCUGAUUGACGUGCAAGGUCAACAGCCUUGUGUGAACUUAUAGAAGUCGUUCCUUAAUUUUGUUUAAUGGUUCAUUUUCCCCCACUAUAUUAUAAAAUGACUUGAUUUCUGCAUCUUUAUCUCUUGAUUGAACAUGUAUACCAGGCCUGUCUGUCUAAAGGUUUGGGUGCGCCAAUUAUAUCUGUGAUUGUAGUUUCAAAGAGCUUUAUUGCCAAGGUAUUGGUGAACUACUUGCAAUUACAGUAGUGUCUUUCCUUUGUAGAAAUGGAUACCCAUGCUACAUCUCCUAUUGAGAGAAUGGGAGGAACUUGGGUACCUUCAGAGGGGCACCAUGAGAUCCUCUGAAUCAAAAAUCAAUUAGAUUAUGGUAAUUAAUUAAUGUUACUGUACCAUGCCAAAUAAGCAAAUGGAUGUAGUUGAUAUUAGUAUCGGAUCCUACAGGUUUCUAGAACCAAAGGCCCACCACAAACUAAAAGAAAGGAAAAAUAUCCAAGUCAUAGCUUGUGACAUGGAAUGCUAGAGCACUACUCAUUGGAAUUUGAUUAUUUUGUCAGUUUCCCUAACUAUAUAACUUAAACUUCAACAUAGAUUUUGACUAUAUCUUAAUAACAGACUCUUUCUACUAAGUGACCGGCCCUUUGGUAAGAUCAAGUGAUUAAUGCUUCAGCCCCAGUUGAGUCAUAAGUUAUGAACACCAAACUCUAUCCAUGGAUAUUGAGCUGUAAUACCAAAGAUUCAAAACCAUCUUACAGCAGUCGGCAUGCAACUUCGUCAUUAGAGAAAUGAAUAAUAAAUCUAAGAUUAAUUAGAAAAAUUAGGAAACCCCAUUUGGCCAUUUCAUCAAAUUGAUUAAAAAAAAAAAAGGAAAUCCAACUUUGACCGGUUUGACUGAUUGAAAGAUUUUAAUUCAUGCAUAUAAGUCAUCCUACGCUCUCCAGUUUAUAUCAAGAACAUAUGCAGGCUAUAUUAUUAAUAAAUAAUUUGCAAUUUUCACUUCACAAGGUUCAUGAUUUUCUGAUGGCAAACCCAGAUCCUUUAAUACCCAUGUAAGAUCUUACAACAUCAUAUUUUGUCGUGGAAAUUUAUAAAGUGGUCGAAUUUCUUAUGCAUUUUUUUUUUCAACCAGAAAUUGGAAGAUCUGUAGAUCACAGGUAUUAGGGCUGUUACUCUAUUUGCAUUGGCUUUGGAAAGAUUUAAAACCAAAAUGAAGUUGCAGACAAGCAAGAAAAGCUCUGAGUUCCUGGUAUCUGUUUCUGAAGAAUUUGGGUGCAGCUACAAAAUGUUGAGUCUCAGAUUAAGUCAGACUUGUAGGUGUCAUAAGACCACUAGUUUACCUUUAAUAUUUUGAUAUUGAUUGCAUGCAGCUUCAUCAUAUGAAUGAAGUAGGUGACCUUAAAGGGAGACAGGGCAUGGGUGUUAAAUUAGGAAAUUUUCAGCCACAUAAUUCUGCAAGCCAAUAUCUAGCAUAUCAUGCUUUUAUCAUAUUCUAGUUGAAAAAUAUUUGGAAAUACUAGUCAUAAUUUGGGCAAGAGACACAUAAGAACCAUGGAAUCGACCUGCCUGAGUCUUGUUUAUAUAGUUUGACAAGCUAAGUUUGUUUUCUUUAUUCCCGCAGUUCUUCAAUCCAAACAGAUCCAAAAGGUAGUGUUAUUCUGUUGUUUUUGUUGAUGUCAAACUGAUCCUCAAGCUAAUCCUAAUAAAAUCAGCAGUUAGUUACCAUAUAUUUAAGCAUUUUAUAUCAGAGCAUAAGUUUGAUAUCCACAAUUUUCCUUUUUUUUUUCAUAUACUCAUAUUUGGCUGGCUUUCCUUUCAGGGGAAAAUCUGGCAAUGAUUUUUACUGAUUUAGAAAAUAAUGGGUUAUUCAGCCUUAAGACAAUUUUCCAGUAGUGUAGACUGUAGUGUAGUUUAACCCCAAAGAAAGAUUUUGUGUUAAUGAUUUUGCUCUUGUUUAUUUCUGUUAUUUUUAUUUUGGGAAUCAUAAUCCAUUGCUCUUAUGUGUUAUUGUUGUAAUUUAUACCUGAGGAAAUAACUACCAUCAUGAAUGACUUUGCUGAACCUGGAUCACUUGCUCCAACUGGCUUACACCUUGGUGGCACAAAGUAUAUGGUGAUCCAAGGAGAACCAGAGGCUGUAUUUGAGGGAAGAAGGUGAAGGCAGGAUUCAACCUCAAGCCUCUGCAAUGUCCAGCCAUACAUUACAAGAAAGUUAGUUGGCACCUUCUAUCGAUGUGCCUAUAUAUUUUGGAUGGUCAAACAGAAGGCUGUAUUGAUAACAUGGAGAUGUUCCGGGUGCAUGGCUGAAAAGGGCUGUGAGAACGGUGUGAACACAGUUUUGCGAGGACUGAAUCUGCCCACCUUUGAUGUUGUUUGCCCUUGAUAAGUAAUGCAUUGCUAGUUCAACCAAUAUGUUAAGUGGAUUUGCAUUGGAAGAUGUGCUGCAUUAUUAGAGAAUUUGAUUAUUUUUUUUUAAGUUCUUGUACUAUUUAUAU